rnacentral:tRNA from 1 species
UCCCUGGUGGUCCAGUGGUUAAGACUUGGCACUCCCAAAGCAGGGGACCCAGGUUUGAGACCCGGUCAGGGAA